rnacentral:rRNA from 1 species
GACGAACGCUGGCGGCGUGCUUAACACAUGCAAGUCGAACGGAAAGGCCCUGCUUGCAGGGUACUCGAGUGGCGAACGGGUGAGUAACACGUGGGUGAUCUGCCCUGCACUUCGGGAUAAGCCUGGGAAACUGGGUCUAAUACCGGAUAGGAGCCAUUCUUAGUGUGAUGGUUGGAAAGUUUUUUCGGUGUAGGAUGAGCUCGCGGCCUAUCAGCUUGUUGGUGGGGUAAUGGCCUACCAAGGCGGCGACGGGUAGCCGGCCUGAGAGGGUGGACGGCCACAUUGGGACUGGGGUACGGCCCAGACUCCUACGGGAGGCAGCAGUGGGGAAUAUUGCACAAUGGGCGCAAGCCUGAUGCAGCGACGCCGCGUGGGGGAUGACGGCCUUCGGGUUGUAAACUCCUUUCGCUAGGGACGAAGCUUUUUGUGACGGUACCUAGAUAAGAAGCACCGGCUAACUACGUG